CAUUUUCGAGAAGGGUGAGCCGAAUCAAAGGCAUUAUUCUUGUCAACCUCAGAAGCAAAAUUGACCAUAACUUUUAUAUACGAUGGUUCUAUACAAUGAACCUGUGACUUAACGAAUCAAAGUAUGAAUGAAAAGAAACAAGAAUAUAUAGCAAACGAAAUUGGGAGAUGUAUAAAGAAUCAGUAUAGCAAGGAAACGUAUACCCCGUAUAUAAUAGU